rnacentral:lncRNA from 1 species
GCUGAAGCUAAGUCUACUCUUGACUUCCCUAUAGAAGAUGCAGAUCCAUACUGGAAUUUUUACCAGCUAGAUGACACUCCACCACCUUCACCUCUGACCUCUGACCCCUUCAGACAGCAUGACCAAGAGCGCUCACUGGAAAUUGACCAUGAAAUAAUCAAGGACAAAAAUGGCGGGAACAUUCACAACAAGUCAACACAGAAACAUGUGGAAGAUGGCGGGAAUAAAACUGAGGUCUUGGCUGACAGGCCAGAACUGAUAUCUGAGUGUGAGUAUAAAGGAAAACCCAGUGGAAGUCUUUUAUCUUUAGGCAAGUGGAGCCCUCUAGUGUCCUGGAGUAAUAUUGACCAUUAUUUGUUUCAGACUCACUCCCUGGUCCAUCUAACCUAAACUGUAUGCUCAGUGACGGGAAUAAUUUGAGCUGUAGCUGGGAUCUCAAAACAGAUCUGGCCCAGUACAUCAGCUACACACUGUCCUACCGGACACACUCCACUGCACCGUGAGUGUUCGAGAGCGUUUUAGAUGGUGUAAACGGUGUCUUUAGCUCUGACUGGUGUGAUCUUUCUCUUUUAGGAACGAGUGGUGCUGUGUUGAGAAGGUGGAGGUCACAAAUAAAGGAGCUUUGUUGAGGAUGGUUGGUGUCUUCAGUGUCUUUGAGCCUGGAGUGCUGCAGGUGCAACUCACGCCAAUGCCGGUGACCAAAGUGAUCCGCUCUUACGAACACAGUUUGUACCUCUACAAAUAAAACCCCCUUUUAAAAAUACUUGCCAGGCUAAUCAGAAUCAAGUAUUCCAGAAAGCUGUUUAAUCAAAACCUCUACAGAUUCUCAGAGCUGUUAUUGAUCUGGUCUGUAUCGGUGGUUUUUGUGGUCUAGUCCAGCCUGCAUGUCCCGCGGGUCUGAGCGUUGAACUGAGAGGAGAAGACUGGAUUUUGAACUGGACUUUAACAAAGUAUCGUACUGUACCUCUCACUACUGAACUCAAGUACUUGAGCCUACUAACUCCUGUGAGUAUUAAAUAUAUAAGGGUGUUUUUUCAUCUUUUAAACUGGCAGGAAAAUCCCAGUA